rnacentral:rRNA from 1 species
GACGAACGCUGGCGGCGUGCUUAACACAUGCAAGUCGAACGGAAAGGCCCUGCUUUUGUGGGGUGCUCGAGUGGCGAACGGGUGAGUAACACGUGAGUAACCUGCCCUUGACUUUGGGAUAACUUCAGGAAACUGGGGCUAAUACCGGAUAGGAGCUCCUGCUGCAUGGUGGGGGUUGGAAAGUUUCGGCGGUUGGGGAUGGACUCGCGGCUUAUCAGCUUGUUGGUGGGGUAGUGGCUUACCAAGGCUUUGACGGGUAGCCGGCCUGAGAGGGUGACCGGCCACAUUGGGACUGAGAUACGGCCCAGACGGCUACGGGAGGCAGAAGUGGGGAAUAUUGCACAAUGGGCGGAAGCCUGAUGAAGAAACGCCGCGUGCGGGAUGACGGCCUUCGGGUUGUAAAAAGCUUUCGCCUGUGACGAAGCGUGAGUGACGGUAAUGGGUAAAGAAGCACCGGCUAACUACGUG